UAGGGAAUAUUGCAAAAUGGGCGAAAGCCCGAUGCAGCAACGCCGCGUGGGCGAUGAAGGCCUUCGGGUCGUAAAGCCCUUUUUGAGGGGAUGAGGAAGGACAGUACCCUCAGAAUAAGCCUCGGCUAACUACGUGCCAGCAGCCGCGGUACAACGUAGGAGGCGAGCGUUAUCCGGAUUUACUGGGCGUAAAGCGCGUGCAGGCGGAUUGGAGAGUUGGAUGUGAAAGCUCCCGGAUGAACUGGGAGAGGUCGUUCAAUACUUCCAGUCUUGAGUGAAGUAGAGGGAAGUGGAAUUCCGGGUGUAGUGGUGAAAUGCGUAGAUAUCCGGAGGAACACCAGUGGCGAAAGCGGAUUCCUGGACUGUAACUGACGCUCAGACGCGAAAGCUAGGGUAGCAAACG
rnacentral:rRNA from 1 species